ACUUCUCCUGUGGAAGUUUUGUAACUGGGAUGUCUGGGAAUGAUACAAAUGUUGAGGAAAUCCUUUAAACGUGUGCAUCACUUGCAGCUGCACAUUGUCCUGCAAAAAGUUCCAAAGAUUUGCUGGGGACAGUAACUGAAAUUCAUAUUUUUUUAAUUGGAUUUGUCUUUGGAAAGACCUUUCUGACUUUGAUAGACUUAUACUCAAAAUUGCAUGAAGUGAUUUUAUUCUUAUCAUAAACAACACCUGCAACACUUUUUGCUACGAAUCUGCUGCUGCAACACGGACAUUGUCCUGUACCACAGCUUUAAGUGAUGUGUGUGCCUUUUGGAGAUGCUGUGUUAUAUGCAGGGGAUGUUGUUCCUUGUUUGUGCUGAAUGAGCUUGGAUCACAUCCAUUUGAUUCUUUUCAUUGAGCAGCAGCCAGAGAGGGAAAGGAGGUACUGUUUUUCUGUUCCUGCUUUUUGUGUAUAUUCCAGACAAGAAAAUAUCUGCCAAGACUCUGACAGUGGGCUUUCUGCCCUGCAAAGGAGAGUGAAACUUCCAGCAAGAGAAUAAUUUUUAUGGGUUUGUGUGUUUACACAGUUAUUUGCAGUAAAAUCCUGGAUCCUUUUGGAAAUCCUUCUCUCUGACAACAGCAUAUAGUGUUAUGAGACAGGCAAACAGUUCUCUCUGGACAGGAAAACUAGCAGGUGCUGGACCUCAGACCAAUGUUCACAGAUACCAGAUACAUCAGGGAAAACCUUCUUGUGAUACACUUGUGAACAAGACCAACAUGAUUGUGUGAUCCACAGGAGGGCUGAUGAAGAUAUUCUCAAUAAAUUACUAAGUCUAAGAAUCAGCAGCUUAAUAAUGAAAAUCUACAGACUAUGGAAAUGUAGGCUAGUUUACAUAAUAAAAUAAAUCAGAAGCUCAAGAGCCUAUAAAGUUUGUUCUAAUUUAUUGAGAGUAAUAAAAGGAAAAAAAAAUGAACUAAUAAACUAAACAUAUGAUGA